CUGGAUAUGGUACCCUACUUUGGUGCCAGUUAUAUAUAAUUAACGAUCAGUAUGAAGAACUGGGUAUAGGCUGUGCACUGUCCAUUCAUUGUACAGCACUGCAGAAUUUGUUGGCGCUAUAUAAAUAAUAAUCAUAGUAUAUAGCUGUAAAAGAACCCGCAUUCUGAAAUGUGUGGAAAUCCAUCAUUAUCUACCAACCAAAAUGAAG